UGAUGUUCACCACAAACAAAUGGCGUUUUUGUUGACUGAAUGCUCACAUGCCUGAUGUGGUGGUUUGUAUAAAUCCAAGCCAAAAGCUUUGAAACAGAACGUCAGCCUUUCAAGUUUUAUUUAUCAUUGUGAAUUGCCCUACCAAUGGAUUUGUGAAUGAAUGGUACUAGAGAACGAUGUUGGAAUUAGAGAAAUGGAGUGGUCUGGGGAGCAUCAACUUCGCUGCUUUUGUGCAUACCAAGAUUAAAGAUUUAAAAGGAAGAUCUUCAAAGUUUCACCGCUUUAUGUGUCAAUAAUGUGGCAGAACAUUACAUUAAAGAUUAAUAAUGCAACCCUGAGCAUAAAAAUCAGCUAUAGCUGAUCCAAAAUCUUUAUAAUAAUAAAACCUAGAACAUUUGCAUCAAUACUGCAAA